CCCAAACUUUACCUAAUCGGCGAACAGUAAACUAACAUGUGGGAGUAACCAUUUCACCAUUCUGUGUGCCCCACAUUUUUCCUCUUGUUUGAAACGACGAACGACUAAGGAGGCUCCUUGGUUUCAUCGGAACAAUUACAAUAAAUUAACAUACGCUUCUCUCCAACUCCAACCAGUGAUCCAUCUUCGCUUCACACCUGGCCACUUUACUCCGUUCAAUGGCUUCUCUCGCCUUUAAUUCCGUCGCAACCACCUCGAAAUUCCACUCCUCCUUCGCCGCCGUCGGAAGCUCCUCCAUCCGCCGCCAGCUUACGCAUCUCCGCCUUCCGUCUUCCCCUCUUCAGCCAUCACCUCCCUUGCAAUGCCGCUGGUCCUCUUCCUCUUCUUUCGCCUCUUCAGGUAUCUGACUUCCUACCUAGUACAGACGGAUCUAAUCCUUCUCAGCUCACUGCAUAACAUUCUUCGAGAGAGAGAGAGAGAGAGAGAACGUGUGUGUGUGUGCGCGUAUUUGUAUAUAAUAGACAUACUCACUGUGAAUUUAGUGACUAAAUUCUGGUCUUUCGCCUCUUCAGGUAUCUGACUUCUACCUAGUACAGACGGAUCUAAUCCUUCUCAGCUCACUGCAUAACAUUCUGCGAGAGAGAGAGAGAACGUGUGAAUUUAGUGACUAAAUCCUGCAUGCAAUUAUAUAUAUAUACACACACACUUUUUGGAUUCCCCUCCGCUUCCAAAAUGCUUCAAUUUCCUUAGACGACACGACCUCAUUUUAUGUGCCCUUUUCUUUUCUUUUUAUUGGCCUGUUUUUUGUAUAUGUUCCUUUGUGUAUGAUGUGUUGUAUAGAUGGAUAAUGGGAGUAUGGGACUGUGAUGUGAUCAGGCGUGAGAGCUCAGGUGGCAACAACUGAACAAGCUGGAGUUGAAGCUGCUGCGAAAAUUGAAACUCCCGUCGUUAUUGUCACGGGAGCUUCUAGAGGAAUCGGGAAGGCUAUUGCAUUGUCUUUGGGAAAAGCUGGUUGUAAGGUCUGCAUUUGUAUUCCAUUUUCUAUAGAUGCUGAAACUCUUUGGUUUUUGGAUUCUUUGCCUUCGAAUUUUAGCUAAUUACAUGGAACUGUUAACUACCAGAAAAAGAACCUUAUUCUGCCUUGAUAGCUUGUAGCUGCUGAAACUCUUUGGUUUUUGGAUUCUUUGCCUUCGAAUUUUAGCUAAUUACAUGGAACUGUUAACUACCAGAAAAAGAACCUUAUUCUGCCUUGAUAGCUUUUUCACUGGAAUUUAUAUGGAUUUACUCUUUCAUUCGUACGCAUUGUAUCCGUCAAUAUGGAUGGUCAGUUGGAAACCCCUGCAGUUUCACUGUAACAUAGCAUCUGCUUUAUGGUACUAUUGUAGUCGCUCAAGUUUUGCAAGGGAACUCAGGGGUGGAUGUUGAUUGUAAGGUUUGGUUUCAUCCAAACCUAGUAGCUUCAGUAAAUCAAAUGAGUUGUGGUAAAACCCCGAACUCAAAUCCAUAAAAUUCAAAUCCUAGAACCCCUGCAGAAAUACUCUCUUUGUCCAGUAACAAUGACCUUCUUUGCUCUGUGCGUUGAAACUCAAAUCCAUAAAAUUCAAAUCCUAGAUCCCCUGCAGAAAUACUCUCUUUGUCCAGUAACAAUGACCUUCUUUGCUCUGUGCAUUGUCUUAGAGUAAAAUGUUUAAAUAAAUCGUUUUAUCGAGUAGACUUCAAAAGAAUAGUUUGAGAUAUGCAAAAAGUAAAUUAGUUUGUCAAAAGAUGUCACAUCAAGUGUGAGAAAAUAAUCUAAAUUCCUGUUGGGUGUCAAUCAUUGCCAUCAAGAAGGAGAAUGAGUUUUUUCCAUCCCAAAGUAGAAAGGAGGCAGGUGUCUCUCUCGCCUUUAAAUGGUUGGUCAGGGACUCAAGGUUAUUCCUGUUGGGUGUCAAUCUUUGCCAUCAAGAAGGAGAAUGAGUUUUUUCCAUCCCAAAGUAGAAAGGAGGCAGGUGUCUCUCUCGCCUUCAAAUGGUUGGUCAGGGACUCAAGGUUAUCUUUACCCUCUUGUUUGAGUACUUGUUCUCCUGGUUAUCUCUCUAGUAUAUUUAGUGAGAUAUUUUAGCUUAAUUUAUGACGUGAAGUUGUCAGACAUUCAAAAAAUGUGGACGGCUUAGAUUUAAUUUCUUUGGAAACUGUCAAUCAUUCUUAGGCCUGACAUAUAGGUGGAUAGACAGGCAUUAAUAUUGAUCAAUUUAUAUAAUUUCUUGAAUACUCCACCAACCUGCGUCAGUAUAAAAGUCAAUGUUGUUGGCAGGUCCUAGUGAACUAUGCAAGAUCUUCAAAGGAGGCAGAAGAAGUUUCCAAAGAGGUAUAUGUUUUUCUUUUCAGUAAUAAUUUAAUGUAGUUUUGGUAUAGAUUACUUCCUUAUUCCUGUCAUUUCCGAGUGAAAGCUUCAUUCUUUAUUACUCCCUCCAGUCCAUAAUAAGUGACUUUUUAUACUUUGGCACACCCCUUAAGAAAAUACUAAAUCCUUGAGAAAAAAGGUAUAUUGACUAAAUUACCUUAAUUAAAAUUUGCACAUUGUUACUUUGACACAUUGGGAUAUGUAAAUGAGGGCAAAUUUUGGAAAAAUAAAAUUAAUUCCUUCUUGAUUAUGUAAAAGGACACUUAUUUUGGACCAAAAUAAAAAUGCCAAAAGGUCACUUAUGGGUCGGAGGGAGUACUAAAAGUAUGAGCUGUAUCUCGGACUUCAGUCUUUGCGUUUGGAAGGGUAUCUGAGCCAUGCAGAAUACUUCAUCUUCCAUGCUAUUUCUUAUUUUGCUUUUACUUUUGCUAGGGUACUUACAUUGUCCUUUAAAUUGUCAACUUUUAAGGGGGACCUCUCCUAUUUAAAAUAGUUCAAAGGUACAAUGCAUAAACCUCCCUUUAGUUUGUCUAAAAUUCGUGUGAUCAUUAAAUCUUAAUCAUCCAAUCAACUACCAAUGAUUUGUUUUAAUAAGAAUCUUUCACUAAUUGACGAAAAUGCAAAUAUAUAGUUGAUUAAGAAUUUCUUUCCAAGUAAAAGAACAAAAUGAUUAGAAAAGCAAAGGCUCCUAAAGGGGAGGCCUAGUGGUUGAAUCGUUGGUGUAACAACCUUAGGACACAAUCCCAGUAGAAGCGAUGAAGAGUAAUUCUUCUCAUUUUCCUUAGUGCGCAAAGUUACUUUGUAUCUGUGCUAAUGGAAAUAGCAAAUACCUGUUAAAGACAAUCGUAGUGUGCACAAGUUGGUCAGAACACCAACUUUUUGGGAAAACAAAUGAUUUUCAAAACCAUCGAUCCAGGAGUUGGCCCAUACUUCCAAAUUUUAUCACCACUGAAAAGUUAACUUAGCCCUCAGGACUUUGGUCAAUUUGUUAGGAUAAAGUGCAAGAUGUGCCGAUUGGACGCAUAUCACGAGUUUGAAAAGGUCAGUGAUAGGAAGCUUUAUAUUUAAGUGGGAGUAGGGUAAAGGGGUGAGCCCAUACUUCCCCAGUUCCUAAACUGGUUAUGGACGAAUAUCACGAGUUUGAAAAGGUCAGUGAUAGGAAGCUUUAUAUUUAAGUGGGAGUAGGGUAAAGGGGUGAGCCCAUACUUUCCCAGUUCCUAAACUGGUUUGUUGCCAUAUAUCUUUGCUGGUAAUAUUCACCUAGCAGGGCUGAUUAAGUCAUGGAUAUAUAUUGUAAUUGACCUGUGCAGUUGUAAUGCUUAUACUUUAUGCUUGUAUAUUUCAAAUAGUAAUUUUCUUCUGUUCUUGGCUAAUGCUUAUCUACCAAGAAGUGUAAAUUCAGGUUCCUGUUUUUGUGUAUGGUUUACCUAACCUUCACGGAAGUUCUAUUCCACCAAAAAAUCCGGCAAUCAUAUAUCGACUUAGGUUUAUCUCAGUCUUGUAAAUGAAUAAGACCUGCUCGUAUUCUAUUCAGUUAAAGAUGAAGAAUGUCUUCUCAAGGUCUUUACCUGUGCCAAAGAAAGUUCUCACAUAUGCUAGAAGGCUUGAAAAAAAAAAGAGAGAAUGUCUGGCGCCCGUUUUACAAAUACUUCCAUCCGUUGUUUGAUUGCUGUUUAGAAUUAAAGCUUCUCAUUCGCUACUUCUUCAACCGGCAAUUAUUUAAUUUAGGUUGGGAACAAGUUAUAUGGUUCUUGCUUUCGGCAGUUUGUUGUGUUCCUAAAUGAGAGGAUGUUUUCUGAGUGACUUGUAUUUUGCAGAUUGAAGCAUGUGGUGGCCAAGCCUUGACUUUUGGAGGCGAUGUUUCAAAAGAAGAAGAUGUAGAAUCCAUGAUGAAAACUGUAAGCACACUCUUUUGUUCGUAAUGUGAAUUAAUAAUGGAUCUUACUACAGUUGUUGCCAGCUAAAAUGCACCUCAUCAUAUCAUACCUGUAGGCAGUUGAUCGAUGGGGAACAGUUGAUAUCUUGAUCAAUAAUGCAGGUUAGCAGCAUUUAUUUUGUGUGUGUGUGAAGGCAAGUCAAAAAGGCCAUUUCAUUAAUUUUGCUCCAACAUAGUACCAUAAACUUUGCAUUUGUGUUGAUGCAUUAAGGAUCCGAACAAAUCUGUGCAACUUUUUUUGGAUAAGUAAAAAGGUUGGAAAUCUGUACAACUUUCUAUUUAAAAGGAAUGUGUCUUUACCCCAAAUAUACAAGUGAAACAAUAUUUUUUAAUGCAGGUUAGCAACAGUUUUCCUGUUUAUGUUAAGUCUUGUUAGAAUGUCCAAUCAGUAGUUGUCUUAUUUUUCCUUUUCAGGUAUCACACGCGAUACCUUGUUGAUGAGAAUGAAGAAGUCUCAGUGGCAGGAGGUUAUUGAGUUGAAUCUUACAGGAGUUUUUCUCUGCACACAGGUCUAUACAUUAGCUGUGUUUCAGUUGGUAUUUUGGUUGUGUCCCACCUCCUCCUCUCAAAACCUAUAUAUAUUUUAGGAUUAUAUUUCUGUAAAAGAAAUGGAUCUUGGGCCUAACUCUACCUCAAAAGCUAGCUCAUGAGGUGAGGAUUGCUCAAGUCAUAUAAAGAAACCACCCAUCCCUUUAUGGACCGAUGUGGCUCUUCAAUGCCCCCUCACGCCCAGGUCUGGAGCGUGGACAAUUAAAUAUAGGGGUCCAACAUCGGGAAACAAAAAUUGGGACGGGUCCUGCUCUGGUACCAUGUUAAAGAAAUGACCUUGAGCCUAACUCAACCCUAAAAGCUAGCUCAUGAGGUGAGGAUUGCCCAAGCCCUAUAAAGCGACCACCCAUCCCUUUAUGGACCGAUGUGGGACUCUUCAGCAGUUUCUUAUGAGGAAUCUUUCCUCUUGUUGCAGGCUGCAGCUAAAAUCAUGAUGAAAAAGAAAAAGGUAAAUUUGUGGACCUAAGUCGUGCUUUUCUCAAGUAAUAUUUCUCUGUAAAGGUUCAAGUUUUUUAAAUCUGCUUCAGCAUGCAAUGAAAUUAUUUACUUGACUGAUCCUUUUCAUGUAUUAUGAAGAACUUAGCUCUAUUGGCUCUACAGGAGUUAUGAGCACUGACUACACCGCAUGGUGGUCAAUGAGGUCAUCCGACCGAUCAUCUUCUAAACCUCAUGUGAUGGAAAUAGCACUAGAACAAUUAUAAACCAUGUGGGCUAGAGUUAAUCCUAGCCUUUGGGUAGAAUAACCAAAAUUAUAUCUGUCGUUCCUGGUUUGUUGGACUCACAUGCUAGUCAAAGUAGAAAGAAAAAUAAUCCAAAAGGACCAAAACACAAUGACAGGCUGGUAACUUGCUAUGCUAGCACAGCAUUUUUUUCAUGGGCGGUGGGCAGAAUUAACUACCUUAGCUGGAUUAAAGGGAAAGUGACAGAGCAGAUAAUGAUACAUUACUUGAAUGGAGAUGGUUAAUUUCCACCUAGCCUUAAAAGAUAACCUAAUUCGGCCGCAAAAUUGUCACAUGAAUUAGCGUCCUAUUUUCUUAGAAGCAUCAAGUUGUGUUGAUUUCAGCUGCAGAAUCUAGAGUUUUGCUGUGUUGGAAAUUGGUUUGAUGGAAUGAUUUUGAUGACUUAAAAUCUGUUUCUACCAAUUCCCUUUUCAUGGAUUUCAGUUGCUGAUGUCAUUUUCUUAGAUUUUGUCUCCUGCUAUAUUGCUGACAGCUACCUUUUCAAUCAACUUGAACCAGUAGUCAUUUGUACCAAACAACCAACAAACUGAAUGAUCCUUGAGUGCGCAAAGAUAGGUCAGAUUGUGCCAGAUGACAACUAAUGACACUGUUCCCACCAUUAUGCAUUGUCUCGUUUAUAUAGCGAUAUGUUGUCCUUGAAGAAAAACUGAUCACUAAGAUCUAAGUAAUGCAAUAUCUUCUAUAUAUACUCCAGGAAUUUAUGUAUAAGCAUGGUCUGCAUUUGUAGGGACGAAUCAUCAACAUAUCUUCUGUUGUUGGUUUAGUUGGCAAUGCCGGGCAAGCCAACUACAGUGCUGCUAAAGCAGGAGUGAUUGGCUUAACCAAGAGUGUUGCAAAAGAAUACGCCAGCAGGAAUAUUACUGUAAGUUCUCUUAAGCAUUCCCUUAUAUCGCUUAAGUAGGGCUUAUAUUAAUGCUAGUUACUGAAGUAUUUCGUAAAGCAUAUUAUAAAGGAAACUAUCUCUAUCAAGGACAAACUAAUUUCUUCUUCUUAUUGUUUUCUUUUCUUUUUUCCUUCGUCUUUUUAAACUAAUGACUUCUUAUGGCUUAUAAUUAGAUUUUGCAAGCUGAUUUUUUUCUUUUGACAGGUUAAUGCUGUUGCCCCUGGAUUUAUUGCUUCUGAUAUGACUGCCAAGCUAAGUGAGGACAUUGAAAAGAAAAUUUUGCAAAGCGUUCCCUUAGGUCAGAGUAAAUAUCUUUUAAAAGUAUUCUUGGUAUUUAUAUCUCAACAUAAUUACGACUUCCUGCACAUCUAAACAAGGAAAAUUCUACAACUUGACUUCUAAGAUAUAAGGACUCCAAGUAGAGUAGAACAUCAGAUGCAUUAAGCAGAUUUUUUUGUUUGUUUCCUCCGGAUUAUGAAGUAAUAAAACUAAAUGUGUACUGAAAUCUAAAAAAAUCGAGUGUUUUGAUCUUGCUAGAAGAGAAGAUUUCCCCUUCUUCCACUUGCAUCCACAUUUUCUAAAUUUUGUACGCUCUAUAUAUAUAAAAGAUUCAUUUAUUAAACACAAGGUUUUUAAAAGCGCUCGCUUUAAGCGACGAAGCGAGGCGAGGCGCAGGGGUUACGCUUUUCUGGGAAAAAAGCGACUCACAUUAGAAAAGCGCACGCUUUUCUCGCUUAAACGAGAAGCGACGAAGGCGAAGCGAUAAAAACGUUAAAAAGCUUGCUUAAGCGAGCAGAAGGCUGAAGCUAGUUUUUUUUUUAAAUUUUGGGCCGAGAAGCGGCGAAGCGAUAAAAGCGUUAAAAAGCUCGCUUAAGCGAGCAGAAGGCUGAAGCUAGGGUUUUUUUUUAAAAAUUUUGGGCAAAUAAACAUACGCUCCAAAGGCAUCUGUUACCUAAACAUAUGCGAACGACCUCUUCUCUUCUUCUGUUCAUCUUCUUCUGUUCUUCUUCUUCAGUUCUUCUGUUCUUCUUCAUGCUCUGUUUUUUGUCUUCUUCUGUUAUUCUUCUUCUUUUCUGUUUUUCUUUCAAUUUUUUUCUCCAGAUUAUGAACAGUAUGCUCUGUUCAGCUAACGACCACUGCUGCUCUGUUUUUCUUUUUGUUCUGUUAUUAAAAGUGUUGUUUAUGCUCUGUUUUCUUCUUUUAUGCGCUCUUUAUGCUCUGUUUCUGUUAUUAAAAGUGUUGUUUAUGACUUUAUGCUCUGUUUUCUGUUUAGGACAGUGAAUUAAUUGUUUGUUUUUUUUUUUGCAUUUGCUUAAGAUAUUAAGACUUUUGAGGAUUAUUCACUAUCUAGUUUUAGUAUCUAUUAUGAAACAUUUGCUUAAUAUGUUAUCUUUAAUGAGUUCUUAGUCAUUUAUCUAUGCCUAUUUUUUAUUUUUUUAUGUGUUAAAUUAUGCUUCACAGCAAAAAAGCGUGCGUUUCGCUUCACGCUUCUCGCUUCUGUGAAGCGAGGCCUCAUCGCUUUUUUGCGCUUAACGCUUUCCAAAUACUAAUUAAACAAGUGUAACUAUUCUAUCAAUUUUAACUUUUAGGAAAUAAUGGCUCUCAUAUAUCUUAAAAGUGACAGGACAGUAAUGCUAUUUUAAACCAUGGCUACAUUGACUAAUGUUGGUGUCAUAUAAUAUAGGACGCUACGGUCAACCCGAAGAAGUUGCUGGACUAGUGGAAUUCCUGGCACUGAAUCCUGCAGCUAGCUAUAUUACGGGACAGGUAUUGCCAUAUUAUGAGCCCGUUUGGCCAAGCUGUCAAAAUCCACUUAUUUUGAAAAGUACAACAACAACAACUACCCACUAUAGUCCCACAAAGUGGGGUCUGGGGAGGGUAAUAUGUAGACGAGCCUUACCCCUACCCGAAAGUACUUAUUUUGAAAAGUACUUGUUUUAAAAGUACUUCUGAAAAAAAAUUACUUUGUGUUUGGCCAAUUCAUUAAAAAAGUACUUUUUGCAACAUUUGGUAAAUAAAUUAUGUUUGACCAAUCUUUCUAAAAAGUGCUUUGGAGUGUCAAAUUACUAAAAAGAUAGUAUCAAGGUCUUAUGAUUUUUUUAAAUAGUAAAAUAAACUUAAAUAUUUAUCGAAAUAGACUUUUAUUGUUUUUUUUAUUUUAUUUGAUUAAAAUUAAAGCAUAAAGUAAACAAACAUAUCAAAGAUUUAAAUAAAUUUUUCAUAUGGUAUAAUUAUACCAAAGCAUAUGAUAUUAUCUAGUAUAAUUACUUAUUGUUAUAUGGUAAUUUAAAUAAUUAAAAUAACAUCAGUCAGUAUAAAUUAGAAGUCUAUCCACAAAUUACUAUAUAUUGAUAAUCCAUUAUAAAAUAAUAAGUAAAGUCACUUCCACAUGAUAAUAUUUUUCGACAAUUUCAUCUCUAUUUUUAUCACACAAUGCUUCCACUUUAGUAGAAGACUAGCCUCGCAUUUCUAAAGGAAUAUCAGAAGGCUCAUCUCUUUCAUCAAUCUCUGGAGUUAAUGUCUUUAUUAGCAUAAUUGUUGAAUUCUUUAUCAGUAGAAGAAUGUCGUCGGAUGAAAUUAUAUAUAGCCAUGGUAGUUGUAAUUAGAUGAUUCUGAAUAUCAGAAGGCUCAUCUAUUUCAUCAAUCUCUGGAGUAAUGUCUUUACUAGCAUUCUUUAUCAGUAGAAGAAUGUCGUCGGAUGAAAUUAUAUAUAGCCAUGGUAGUUGUAAUUAGAUGAUUCUGAGUGUCAAAAUUGAAAGAUGGUAUUGAGCGCAAAAUAUAAAUACUUGUAAAUAUAUAAAAAAAUCCAUAAAACAAAUAGUUAAGUAUGCUUAAAUUCUAAUUCAAAAAGAGUAACAAUACAAAUAACACAUAAUGUAUAAUUAUUUAUUUAUUUAAAAUUUAAACUAAAAAAAUUAAUUAUUACCUAACCUUACUUACUUUGUCCCAAAAUGCCAAGUGACCUAUUGUGAGGCUACCACUUGACUUAUGUGGAUGCAUUUUCUUCUUCUUUUGAUAAUAUAUAGAUAGAUUAUGAAAUGCAAUUAUAAAUUUAUUACCUAUUUGUAGAUCAUUUUUACGAAUUAGAUUUGAUAAUUGUUUUAAAGAUUCGGAAACUAAUGACAUAUAAUAGAAGAAAUUAUAAAUGAUUAUUUGUAGGAAGAGAAUUGAUAAUUUGUUUUAGUUUGAAAAAAGAAGAUAAUUUAGAAAGUUACAAGACAUUACACAAAGAAAAUCAAAAACAAGAAAUGUCAAUAAAUUUAUAAAUUUUUUGGAAAGUUACAAUAUGACUCAUAUAUAUGAUAUUUUUAACGAAAAUCAAAAACAAGAAAUGUCAAUGAAUUUUUUGGAAAGUUACAAUAUGACUCAUAUAUAUGAUAUUUUUAAUUUUAAUAGAAUGGUAAAACUUGAGACAAAAAUGAAAAGAAAAAAACUUAAAUUAAUAAGGGAUAAUUUGAAAAUUAUAAAUUUAUGGUGAGAAUAGUUUUGUUUUGAAUAAAUUAAUUUUCUACUUCUGCUUCUGUUUCUUGGAAGAAGCUAGAAUUUUCUGCUUCUUCCCAAAAGCAGAAAAACUGCUUCUGCUGCUGGCCAAAAGUACUUAUCAGAAUUGUCAAAACAACUCAAAAAUUUUAAGUACUUUUUUGGUAAAAAAAGUACUUUGGGCAUCCCAGACUCAGAAUUGGCCAAACAACUCCAAAAUUUUAAGUACUUUUUUGGAGAAAAAAGUACUUUGGGCAUCCCUGAAGCUUGGCCAAACAUGCUCUAUGUCGUUUCAUCUGUCUUUUUCCUGAAGCUUCUCUCUUGCUACUCAGUCUUAUAGCCUGUUUGGCAAACUACAAAAAUCAGCUUAUUUUGAGAAGUGUUUUUUUUCAAAAGUAUUUUUCUCAAAAGUACUUUUGGUGAGAAGCAAUUUGUGUUUGACUAAUUAAUUUGAAAAACACUUCUGAGAAACAAUUACUGGUCGGCCUAGCUUUAAAAAACUGCUUCCAAGUGUAUUUUUAUCAAAAGUGCUUUUGGAGAGAAACUAUUUUUUUCUGUUUCUGCUUCUUCUCAAAAGCACUUUUUUUUUAAAAGAACACUUUUGACCCAAAAAAAAAAGUGUUUUUGUCUCGAAAAAAUCUUGGCCAAACAGGCUAUUAGAAUAGUUGUUUAUUAUGUAUAUUUAUUUUCUUUGCAGGUCUUGACCAUUGAUGGUGGGAUGGUUAUGUAGAAGUGUAGAAACUCCGUAUUUUGUUUGCUCACAGAGAAGAAUUGGAAGGGUGAUUAUUUAGGUUCCACCCGGGCUGUAGCCUCAUUCUAUGCCUGAGGAAAAGGAACUUAUUAAUUUAGUGGUAGGAGAUGGCCGGACGUACUGUUUUCUGCAUUUUCUCCUCUUCUUUACCAUUUUGCUGGCUGAGUAAGCUUUUUUUGGAUAUUUUUGAAACAGGGUUUUAUUUUUUGUUUUCGUUUCUAUAUCAAAGUUUUAAAACCUAAAAUGUUGUAAUUGCUUGAAUGUUGAUGCAUGUUUUGGCAAUAUUGGUGUACUUCCUUUGGUCAAGCAUCUUCAUGCGCUUUCAUGGAAGGCUGCUGCUGUUUGUCCAGAUAGGGUGAGAUUGAUAAAUCAAUGACAUUAUUAUAAACGGAAGUUUUCGACCCCUAAUAUCUCUAUUUCCACCCAUUUAAAAGAUAAAUUCUUAUAGUAGUAGGCUUCUCUUUCACUAAAGCAAGGUGGCAAGCUGAACCCGAGAAAAAAUGGCUUCUAACGCGAUUAGUAAAAUACAGGCAGCCAACCACAUAGCAACUGUGAGAAGUACCUGAGCGCAUCCAUUAUUUUUUAUACUCAAUUCAAAUAUUUACAAAUUUGAAAUAUCACUUUAUCUUGCAUUUAUGUAUAUUUUAAACUAAACGAUUAGCGAAAUCUUUACUAACUUCUACAGUAAUUUGUUGCAACGUUUCUGUUGUUUUUUCCUUUCUUUUUCUAAAAUUGACCCCGAGGAUUCGAAUCUUAUUGUGACUCUAAUCUGUAAUGUAGGUGGGGUGUACUUCUUGUACCUCUCGAGUCUCCUCUGAAGUUGCUGCCCUGCCCUCGGGUUGAACUAGGGCUAUAGGUGGUAUCGGUAUUACCUCUGGAAUUUGAUCAACUUGAACCUGCUGCUUUGGGCUGCGGGUGGCAGCAGUGUGCUACUCCCCGACCUGAGAUGUUGCUUGAGUUAAAGUACUGUACAUGCUCAUGAACUGUGCAAGGGUCUCCUGAAUAAGCUGGAGUACUAGUAGUAGGCAUAUCAGGUGUAUGUGCUCCGACUGGAGUUGCUGGUGGCUCCUCUGUAGCAGCUCGCUUGGGUGCUUUGUCUACACCACGGGUAUGCCCGCGGCUUCAGUAGCGGGCGAGGGUGCUUGGUCAUCUUCGGUAGCACGUCCUCACGAUCUGUGAGAGAAUAGAAGAUAGUAGUUUAGAAUUUUAAAGUCAAUAAUCUCACACGACAAGGAAUCAAAUGAAGUAUAAUUUUCCUAACAUUUCCAUAGCCUCCCAAAGAUAAGUACAGAUUUCUCCGUACUGAUAUGCAAGACUCUAAUAAACCGGCUUGUGAUUCACGACUCCUAUGAACCUAGAGCUUUUACACUAACUUGUCACGACCUAAUUUCUCCCUUCAUUACUAGAAAAUGGUAGAUUUUCAACAGUAAAAAGGUUGGAAUUCAGCCAGAAAUCAUGUAUUUUCGACUACUUUUCAACCGCAUUUGGUCGGUCGGAAAAAAAUUGGCGAAAAAUAAUUUCAGACCGGACCCGUCGGUAAUUUCCGACUAAAGUAGUCGUAAAUUUCGAAAAGGUCACACUAACAAAUAAUUAGCCUUUCGGACUAAAGUGAUCGGAAUUUUCCGACUGAAUCGGACGUAAUAAUACAAGGAAAAUUAAUAAUUGAAUUUCAUUUAUUUUUUGACGGAAUCCGUCGGAAACUGUUGAAUAUUAAUAUUUUUAGCAAUUUGCGACCGAAUAUGUCGGAAAUUAAUAUUUAAAAAUUUUAUUUUAUUUAAUUUCCGACGAAAUAUAUCAAAAAAUUUUGAAUAUUAAUUUUUUUUAAAAAAAAUUCCGACCGAACCAGUCGACAAUCAGACAAUUUAUUGUUAAAUAUGAGAGUUUACCAACCGUAUCGGUCGAAAUUUUGUACAAAACUGAACAAGAUUCUGCCAAUUUCGAGCUACACCACCUGUCAAACUAUUACAAACAAAAAAAUACCAACCAAUAAUCUAAAUCAACGAUACAUCAAUACAAUAAUACGAACCAACAAUAUAUUAACAUUAUUAUAAUUAAUAAUACAUUAACAAAUUCUAAACCAAUAAUGCCAAUCAUUAACACAACUUAAACCAACAAUACCAACAUUUAAACCUAAUAAUUUUGGGCAUACAAACAUCCAAAUAGCAGCCGAUAUUCAAGUUUAAAAGCAAUACAUAAGUUGUCUCUCACAAUCAAGUUUAUCAGUCAACAAAAACAUCACAACUAAACUACUACACAUCAGAUUUAGUUUGUUCAUCCUCAUCAUCAGAUAAAUCAUGCCCAUGUUUACGCAUGAAUUUCUACAUCUUAACAAUGUCCCGUAUUUGGAGUCCAAUUGUUGCUUCAAUCCACGAAUUUAUUUCUCAUAUUUUUCGUCUGUUCUUGAUUUUGAGGAGAUGAAUUGGCUAAGAGUAGGUUUGAAUGACCUGUAGGUCGAUGUACUCUAAGUCCGUAGACUCCGCCUUUGUUUAGUUGAAAGAUGCUGAGUUUGUUGUCAUUCUUCCAACCUUUUAUGGUAAUCUUCCUGAAAUGAAAACAUAACUAUUAUGUAAACAGAUCUAAUGUUAAUAAACCAUAAAUAAUUAUGAAGUUAGAAUUUUACAUAUGUGUUUAACACACGCGUCUCCACCCAAUGUUCUCUUAUAUCAUCCUUUUUCUUUUUCUAAUGCAACUCCUUGAAGAUCUCAACCUAACUCACAUCUCGCCCUCUUUCCUUUUCCUUCAUAAGAAAAAUUAUGAAUUAGACUUUACAAACGUAAAAUUCUAUAUGUAAACCUACGAAAAUUUUUAUAAAUAAUUAUCAUUCUUAGUUUAUGGGCCUCAAAAGUAAUCGAACCUCCUGGGUGCAACGAACCACUUUUUUUAGAGGCACGGUUUGCCUUUGCUUGUCCACUCUUUGCCUUCCAUUCUGGGGUAUUCUAUUUCUCAAGAAGUUUAUCCCAAACAUCUACUCUUAACCAUUCCGGCAUUUCACCGGAAUUUUGAGCAGCGAGCAUAAUAUCAUUAAUUCUUAUAACAGCCUUCGUCUCAAAAAUAUUAUUUAUUGCGUUUUGAUGCUGAGGAUGCUAUGUACACUUUUUUCUGCAAUAUAAAAAAGUAACAUUAGAUGAAGACAAUAACUAUUAAUAAAUAUAAUUAAUUUUUUACCCUAAAUUGAUUCCACAUUUACUUUUUGAUGUUGUAUGGUAUAUUUCUCCAAGAAGUCCAUGGCACAUGAUAAAAUGGCUUCAUAGAACCUGUAACCAAAUGUGUAGAUUGAAAGGAUGGCAAAAACGUGCAUUAAAGUUAACAUAUAUAUAUAUAUAUAUAUAUUAAUAAGUAAAGUCACUUCCACAUGAUAAUAUUUUUCGACAAUUUAAUAGAUCGGAAGAGCGNNNNNNNNNNNNNNNNNNNNNNNNNNNNNNNNNNNNNNNNNNNNNNNNNNNNNNNNNNNNNNNNNNNNNNNNNNNNNNNNNNNNNNNNNNNNNNNNNNNNNNNNNNNNNNNNNNNNNNNNNNNNNNNNNNNNNNNNNNNNNNNNNNNNNNNNNNNNNNNNNNNNNNNNNNNNNNNNNNNNNNNNNNNNNNNNNNNNNNNNNNNNNNNNNNNNNNNNNNNNNNNNNNNNNNNNNNNNNNNNNNNNNNNNNNNNNNNNNNNNNNNNNNNNNNNNNNNNNNNNNNNNNNNNNNNNNNNNNNNNNNNNNNNNNNNNNNNNNNNNNNNNNNNNNNNNNNNNNNNNNNNNNNNNNNNNNNNNNNNNNNNNNNNNNNNNNNNNNNNNNNNNNNNNNNNNNNNNNNNNNNNNNNNNNNNNNNNNNNNNNNNNNNNNNNNNNNNNNNNNNNNNNNNNNNNNNNNNNNNNNNNNNNNACUAAUAAAUACUUUUUAAUUGAAAAUAAAUACUCCUUAAUGUUAACAUAUCUAAAUGUACAUUCAAAACAUAAAAAUUUGUAUAAGAACCUUCUUGCCGGUCCUUGUGGGGGGACAAUUAUCAAUCAAUUAUAACUAUCAAAUUGUAUAUCCCCUCCAAUAUUCUGCGUGCGUCUACGAAAUGGUGCAGAAGCAACACUAGAUGUAGUUGGGCGAGAGCCUCCAAUAUCCAACCUAGAUAUGCUGGGAAUGGAUGAUGAUGAUGGACUGGAAGAUGAUGGACCAACAAAAGAUGCACCAUCAUGCUUACUAGCAUGAAAGCUCGGGGGGUGCAGCAGCCGCUGAGCCAAUAUGCUGAUUACCAUGAAAGCCCGGGGGUGCAGCAACUGGCGAGCGGUAUGCUGACUACCAUGAAAGCCUGAGGGUGCAGCAGCUGGUGAGCCAAUAUGUUGAUUACCAUAAAAGACCGAGGGUGCAACAGCUGGUAAACCACCAUGUUGACUACCAUAAAAGCUCGAUGAAGAUAAUGGUAUAGAAGAUAUGGUUACAAAGUUAAAAAUGGUGUUACUUUGACUGUCUUUAGCAAGCAUAGAAUAAUACUAAUCUGAAUUAUUAGAUGGAGGGGGCAUAGUGAACAUGGUAGAUGGAAAUGAAGUUGACAGAAGAGGAUGAAGGAGAGGAUGACUCAUAUUUGGCAUAGUUAAGGAAGUUGGAACAGAUUAUUUUUUCUUCUUAGAUUUAAUUUUUUCCUUCCCCUUAGAUGCCACAUAUGUAAUAUAAUCAUAAUAAAAUACAAAACAAAAAAUACAAUAAGUGACAGUAAACAUAAAUAAUUAAACGACUAAAGAAAUAAAUAAACAACCUAACAAUCACGUGAUUAACACAUAUAAUUAUAAGGAUAUACUGAUAUAGUCUACUCGUAAAUAAAUCUAAAUCACUAUGCGGCAGAAGUAGAGUUGCCUAAGGAACUGUCUUGAAUAGUAACAUUCUUAUUCAACUAUCUACUUACCGUGAUCUAAAAUCUAAUAGCAUAAAACUUAAUCUCUGAAUAGAAUAAAUUUACUAAGUAGGUAUUACUUGUCAACUAAUAUUCAAAAAAUAAGUCCAAAUCAAUUGAAAUAGUUUAGUCAAUGAGAAAGACCUAAUAAUGUAACUAAGUAUUCCUAAAAAUUUUGGACACCAACUAAAAUUAAGUAUUUGGAACUGCUACCCUUGAAUUGUUGGAUAUAAGAAUCAACUUGCAUAAAAUCCACUAUCUGUUGUUGACUAAGCAAUAUAAAAAAAGAACCUAAUGCUUACCUGUAAGUACAAAUAUAAAAAAUUUCACAAUCAAUCAGAAAUUAAUUACUCAUACACUACUUCAUCAAGUAAGAAUAUCAAAGAAACAUGGAUAAACUUGAAUACCAAUUACACAACAACAAAAUCAGUAACCAAAUAGAAUUUUUAUUGGUACAAAACAUAAAGAAUUUCACACUCUCAUAUCCUAAAAUCUAGAACUCUUGCACCCAGCAGAAAAACCUUGAGGAAACCUCUUAGAAUCAUCAUAAUAGUUAUAAACCAUGUGUCUUUUUUGUACCCAUCUUAGCCUAUUUCUUCCCUUACCAUCAAGUUCAUGAGUUUGCCAUAGCUUAGCAUUUUGUCACGUCCCAAAUUACCCCUUAAAUGUGACUGACACCCAACUAACAUCACCUGCUAGGCAAACUAUAUUUUUAUACCUUAAUCAUUGAUUUGCAUUAUUUGGUUAAUUAUGAGCAUCCAAAUAAUUUGAUAAUUAAUUAUGAACAAAUGGUAUCUCAAAUUAUUAAAUUAAAACUCUAGCCAAAAUUCUACACUAGACCAUGGAGCAUCUAAGAGAAUUACAAAAGACAUCACAUCGAUAAAUGAUAAAGACUCUUUUGGAAGCCUCCACAAACAAUACGGCGUCUCACCUCAAUAACUGAAUCAACUCCAACGAACUCACCAAUGGUAUCUGUAUAGACAUGCAGAUAAGGAGUGAGUUAUAUAUAAAUAUAAUUCAGUAAGAUUCUUGACCCGCCACUUUAAAUACCUCUGGAACAAGAGUUGAAAAAUACAAAUACACUACAAUACGAAUGAUAUAAUAAAUAUGAUAAUUGUACUAUAACUCAAUAUAUGUGUAUCAAUAGAGUUAUUAAGAAUUAACCAAUAAUUAUACUCACUAAGGAUUUAUUAUAAUUGCAGUGAAAAAAGUUUGCCAACACACCACGAGUCCACAAUGGCACCACAAUGCCUCAAAUAUGUAACAUAGCAUACACAAUGUUGGGGUGAUGUAAAAAGGCAUACAUAAUGCCCCAACAUCAUGGCACACAGCCAUAUCAAACUCAACAUCAUGGCACACAACCGUAUCAAACUCAACAUCUUGGCGCACAGCCGUAAAACUCAAUAUCAUGGCACACUGCCAUAUCAAACUCAACAUCAUGGCGCACAACCGUAUCAAACUCAAUUUCAUGGCACACAACCAUAUAACUCAAUAUCAUGGCGCACAGCCGUAUCAUACUCAACACCAUGGCUCACAGCCGAAUCAAACUAUAAAGAUCAACAUCAUGGCGCACAGUCGUAUCACACUAUCAAACAACUUAUAAAAUAAUAUUUUUUUUGAUAAAAUAAUAUAUUUGCUGCUAGUCUAAGACCACCAACUCUGUCAAGCGCACGCUUGUCCCAACACAUGGACCAGGCAGGGAAAACACACUUUUAAAAUGGGUUUUAGAAAAGCAAGUAUCAAAGCUUAAAGUCUCACUUACCUCGCUAAUAAAGUUUUCCAACUUUGCAGCAUCUAGAACACCAACCAAAUAUCUUUAAAUGACCUAAAUCUAGGUAAAAUAUUAACAAACGAUGUUAACUAUGCUAACUGAGGCCUUUUUUUUUAUAAUUUUUGGAAUAUCGAGUCAAAGUUAACUAAGCAGCCAUCUCCCAAUCAACAUGGUGAAAUCUCGAACAAAUUAUAUUUUCGAGUUAAGUAUAAGUAAUAGAAUCCAAAUACAUAAUCUAAUUUCAGUCUUAAUGCCAAUUGGAAGGGGUCAUCUCUCAAUAUUGUGAUAUUUCAUGUUUAAAGCAACGUCUCAAAUAUUGAUAUCUUAAACCAUAAACUUAAGUAAACUAUGUCUCAAUAACUUGCAAUCCAGCUCAUCAUAUAAUUCAUGUAUACCGGUAUUCAUGUAGUAAGAAUAAUAAUUAAAUUUAGAAAAAAAUAGAUAAAUAAAAAAAAUAGACAAAUCAAAUACCUUAAAAUCGUGGCUUGCUGUAGCCGAGCGUGUUGCAUAUAAAUAUAGUACUCUAAAUCCCAUUGUUGCUUGCUUAAGCAAAAGUUCACGUCCUCUUUUCAAUAAGGUUUCCUACCCAAUUUAGUUAUGACUCCAUGGGUUUAUAGGAUUGCAAAUAAGCAGUUUUGCCUUUACUUAGGUUUCACCGUCGACUUUCCUGAAUACAGUUCCCCAUAAUUUUUUUUCCUUCAACCAUGAAUUAAAACCCCGCUUUCACUUAAUUGUACCCUCUUAUAUCACAUGUCACAAUUAGCCACUCUUCAAAUAUAUAAACUAAUUAAGUAACUAGACACUUAUUUAAUAUUUAAACUCGCACACUCUAUAUCUCUCAAUUCUUAAGUACUACUUCCGAGCGCGUGUGUAUAUAUAUAUCCAUAUGAAAGUUAAGUAAUUAUUUUUACCUCUGUAAUCACUUAAUAAGAAUUUAAAAUUAAAGAAAUAAUUUAAAGUCAAAAAAAAGAAUGACAGGUUAUUACACAUUGUUUGCUGAAUUGCUUGAUUUACAUAAUGAGGUGACGGAUAACACCGCACAACCAUCAAUAUUGAUGUUUAUGUAUUAUGCUGUGAAAGUUAAUUGCAUUAAUGUUUUUCAAAGUGCUAGAGAUAGAAUAGUUGGGAAAGUUAACCAAGUAGUUGGACUGUUGGAGUUCAUCGUAUCACAAAAGUUUCAUGAUUUUUUAGUAUAUGAGCCCCCUUACUUCUAUACUAUUUAUCUUGUACAUAAAGAUAAUAGUAGAUAAUGUGAUGAACCUCCUAAAAUGUAUGACAUAUUUUACACAGUAGAACAACAUAAAUUAGAGUGGAUUUGAGAUUUUCUCUUCUUUCUUUUUUGGAUAAGUUUAUAUUUGUGUUAAUAUUGAUCUUCUUACAUACUGACUAAUGCUUAUAUUGAAAAUCUAACUUAUUAAAGGUUCUCUACUCUAUUGGUUGUUACUUUGUCUAAAUUUUUGAAGAACACUAGAUAAAUAGCAUUAUUGACCAAGACAUGUCACUUUAGCAUAUUUUAUAGAAAGCCAACAUUUUGAGAACAUUACUAGAUAUUCACUCAACAUCAAACUUUUUCCACAAAGACUUAGAGCCUUCUUACUGGAAUACUUCUUCUUUAUCUGCUUUAUUUCAUUAUCGCAAAGACUUAAUUGGAACUACAUCUCCCAAAUUAAUUUCUGUUUGUAAUGAUUCUUCUUAACUUUCUUUACUACUCCCAAUAAAAUGCACUUUAAAAAAAUAUCUCAAAAAACAAAAAAAGAUUAAAUAUAUCUUAUUUGAUAAUUUUUCCAAUAAGCUAACAGGGAAAAGACAAUUAUGGAUUCAUUGCAACUCUCACAAUUAUUUGGAAAGUACUUAUUUGGGAUAGUUUAUAGAAAUAGGAUAAAACAAUUGGGAUCACAUCAUGAUUAUUAUACAGGCAAAAAGUGUCUUAAUAGGUUCAAGAAAAGUGUACAGAACAUAAAGGAGAAAUCAAAGAUGAAUAAAUCUAAAAAAAUGCAAAGAUACUUUUGGAUGCACUGUAUGAUAGAGCUAUAUCGGGUAAGUGAAGCUUAGUACAAAGAUACUUUUGGAUACAAUACUUCUGUGCAUAAAGAUAAUUCUUGAUGAUCUAUAAGAUAAGGGGAUUUAUCUAAUAAAAUACAUUAUGAUAAAGGAUAGUACUUGACCUAAAUUUAGAACAACUAGAUCUUGCAUAAAUUGAGGUAAGAGAAGUAGUAAUUCUUAUUCUGAAGGUAACAACAACAACAACAACAACAACCCAGUAAAAUUUCACUAGUGGGUCUGGGAAGGGUAGUGCAUAUGCAGACCUUAGUCCUUACCCCUACCCCGAAGGAGUAGAAGUUAUUCUGAAGUUAAUGUAGUAAAAAUAAAUAAAAAUAUUAAAGACCAUAGAUUUGCAACUCCAAAAUACAGACACCUCUAUCUUCGUCCUCACUUGUAAUCAUCUAAGAAUAACAAGUUAAUCUUUAUCUCUAUCUUCAUAGUAAUCAUCUAAGUCUUCAUCAUUACCUGUUUCACUUUCAUCUUUAAUUCUUCCUUAUCACUUAUUUCAUGUUCUACAUCUCUAUCUUCGUCCUCAUUUGUAGCAAGGACAGAAGGAUCAAAUUCUUCAUAUAUUCCUUCAUUAUGUUGCAAUUCAUCUGCUAAUUUCAUCAUCCACUAGUGAUUCAACAUUUGAAAUGUCAUUCUGGUACGCCACUUCUAAUGCAUCUUCGACUACCACUCUAUCCACGGGCUUUGUUUUCAAAACUAUCCGUCAUGCAGACUUAUUCUUGCUCAAAGGAUAAGGAUCAUAAUACACUUGUUUUACUUUUUGUGCAAUGAUGAAGGAAUAAUAAAGUCUAUAUUGUGACGUGUGUUUAAUUUCAACUAUGUUGUAUUGAGCGUGCACUUUGUACCUCUAUUCGGUGUUGGAUCACACCAUUUACAUCGAAAACGUACCAACUUUUUCUUCGGCCAACCUAUAACAUAUUCAAUUCCAAAAUCUCUUGAAGCACACCAUAAUAAUCAACAUAUCUAUCACCUUUCACCCACACCUCACUGUUGUUGGUUUUCUUUCCGUUAGACCAUUCUUCUGUAUGAAACUUAUACCCAUUGACCACGUAUUUAGACAUCAUUCUUACUCUAGGGUCAGGUUCCCAAGCUGUAUCACGUAAAAAUGGAUCUUUAAUGUCAUUAGCUGGAUUAGAACCUAUAAAUAUAUAUAUAUAUAUAUAUAUAUAUAUAUAUAAAACUAAAUAUAAUUUAGAAUCAUAUAUAUAUAUAUAAAAUUAAUUAAUUACAUGUAAUAAAAAUCAUGUUAAAUAAUAAGUAAUACUUACAAAUUCUUUAAACCACUCUGAAAACUUGGGAUAAACAACACCUUGCCCAUAUAUACCUACAAAGUAACUGCCAUUAUAAUGUUUAUUAGUUAAAUCCGCGGUACAUUUAAUAUAAAAGUUUGUAAUAUAUACGAAUAUAUAGUUAUCUAUAAUAAGGUUGGACCUCAGAGAAUUUUAACAAUACAUGUGUUGCAGCUGACUUUAGCUCCAUCUCAGACAACCUUCUCUUUGGAUUAUUUCUUGGGCCUCUUUUACCUGCUUGAUUAAAAAUGGAAAAGGGUGGUUCCAAAGGAUCGAUUUCGCCUCCAUCGUCAUGCCGAUUCGAUCUAUUUCUCAAACAUUGCACAUUAUCUUCAAAAUUAUAUGAACAGAAAUAAGAUGUUUCUUUAGCCACAUAUAACUCGCAUAUCGAACCCUCAGUUGUUGAUCUAUUUUUAUGGUCCGUUUACAUUUGCCAAUAGUCCUUUGCGAGGUUCAUAGAUAGGCAGCCUUUCAUUUCCAUCGGAAGCCAUGCUCAAUUCCAUGUCAUUGGCACGAGUUGCAAGUUCUUCAAAUAUGCCAGGCUUGAUACCCUGCAAGAUGUAGCGUGAUCCCUAACGCAUGCCUUGGAUGCACAUCUCUAUGCCUGAAGCUUUACUAAGCCUGUCUUUGCAGUCGAGUCUUGCAUUUCUCCAAUGAUUGAUAAAGUCGAUAAUUGGUUCCCCCUUUCGUUGACAAGUAUUUGUAAGUUCUAUCAUACUGACAGUACGUCUCGCACUAUAAAAGCGAUUGAGGAACUCUUGCUCUAGUUGAUCCCAACUAUUGAUAGUACAGCCUCGAGGUCCGUGUACCAGUCAAAAGCAUUUCUUUUAGCGAACGGACAAACUGCUUGAUGAGGUAACUUCCAUAAGCCCCAACAUUGUUGCACGCCUCCACGAAGUGCGGAACAUGUUGCUUUGACCAUCAAACUAUUGAAACUUUGGAGGUUGAUAGUCAGAAGGCAUCUUCAACAUAUCGACCCUUGAAGUGUACGACUUUGAAUACGUAAGGGAGGAUUUGGCAGCAAUUUCGUAUUUGUUAUUAAUGGUUCCUUCAAUGAAAUCCUUCAAUUGAUCGAUUGAAAUCAUUCUUUUAGAUGAGACAGGGAUAGCCUUAGUGGAUGUUACUUGUCUUGGGGGAGAGUCACUCUCUAGAACUUCUAGGAGCUUGCCGGGUGCAUGGGUGGAUUUUUCUUCCAUCAACAUUCCCACCCUGUUUGUUAGCUUGUCGAUUAUAUCCUCUUGAUUUUGCUUGCGCUUGGUCAAGCCAUCGAUUCCUUCCAUCAAUUUUUCCAACUGUGAGAGUCACUCUCUAGAACUUCUAGGAGCUUGCCGGGUGCAUGGGUGGAUUCUUCUUCCAUCAAGAUCCCCACCAUAUUUGUUAGCUUUUCAAUUCUAGCCUCUUGAUUUUGUAUGCAUUUGGUCAAGCCAGCUAUUGGUUCUAUCAAGUUUGCCAGCUGCUCCUCAAUAGAUGAAGUGUUUGUCACCAUUGCUUGCAUAAUUCUCGUGUAUGACAGAGAGUAGCAUGGAUUUUCACACAGAUUAAUCCUUGAUUAGCUCACGCUGUGUGGUGUAAGUGGGGAGGAUCCAUCACUUAAAGCAUCAUCAUCUUCCUAAACAUAAGAGUGCUUGGAUCCGGAGAGGUCAAGCAGAGCAAGAGUUUUCUUGAUCUUUUCAGCAACAUCGCUUCCUCCUUCAGAUGUGUUUGUGGCAGAUCUUGCUUUUUUCGAGGAUGAAGAUCCAAAAAUAGAGGUUGAUGCGGAUGACACUUGGGGUGCUUGAUGUCCUAAAGAGCUUUGAUUUGCUCCUCAUAACUGGUCCGAAGUUUUCAAAUGUGACAUCGAGGAUGCUUUCUACAUCAACAGAGAACCUUGAGUUAGCAGCCUUGGUGGAAGUUGAAACGGAGUUUAUUUUCUUUGAAGCCAUUUCAAUAUUCUUGAACUUAGGUUAUUGAAAAGUUGAGAUGAGAGGUAGAGAUGGUCCCACUAGGCGUGCCAAAAUUUGUAGAUAAUAAAUUUGCAUCGGGAAAAUAAAAUCAAGGCCGAAAAUAUCGCAACAAUUGUAGUACUUUAUUUCGAAUAUUUUGAGUAUUACAAUCUCUAUGAAUUCUCUGAUUCUUCUUUCCAAUAGUAAAUAAAUUCAAGGACCAUGGAGCUUGAUCUGGAAUCUAUAUUUGUUUCCACGAACGAUGAUCUUGUUCUUGAGUUUAAGCUUGAGCUUGACUGCUUGAACUUGAUCUUGAUUUCUUCUUCGUUCUUGAGCUUGAAAUUGUUUGUCCUACGUUCUUGAGCUUGAAAUUAUUUGUUCUUCAUUCUUGAGCUUGAACUUGAUUGCUUGAAGCUUGAAACUUGUGGAGGAAUUUGUAGCGUUUGUUCCACGAGCUCUUUCUUGCUUCUUGCUAUAACUUUUGAUAUCUUUUCUGGGUUAUGAAGACCUCUAUUUAUAGUUGUGGGAGGAAAGAGUUAUACUAAGAACAAAUUCUUUCAACUUCUGGUGUCUUUUCUGAGUUAUGAAGACCCAUAUUUAUAGAUAUGGGAGGGAAGAGUCAUGAUAAGAACAAACUCUUUCCGAUCUAUCAAAUUGAAGUGUGACAUGGCCGUAUUUGAUUGGCCAGAACAUGUUACUUGCACACGUGGCGCAGUUUCAUUGGCCUUUUAGUGUGACUUGGCAUGCCUUGUCAUUUUGACAUGUGACAUGAUCCUAUUGGCUCUUCCGCUUGACUUGGAGCUCCACGUCAUUUGACACGUGGCACCAAACUGGGCUUCUAGGAAGAUGUCAUCUUGGGCUUAAUGAAGUGGGCUCAUCACUCUUGCCCAAUUAAAUGGGUUAGCCCAAUAAUAUUUGACUUAUACAAUUAAUCCAAUUAUAUUAGACCAAAAUAUUUAUUCGGAGUAAUAUAUUUAAAAUAUAAUCCAAAUUUAAUGAAUUUGAAUUCAAUAAUUUUUUUUACAUGCCUGCAAAUUCACUUCUUCAAAUAAUCCAUUAUCCCUCCGGAUAAUUCAUAAAUCAUCUGAUUGGUUUCUGCAAGUUUAAAGUAUUAGUACAUGGUAAGAUUUAUACGUUUUUAAUAUAAAUUGCCCCUUUUGAUAUCGAAUAUAAGCAGACCUCCAAAAUUUACAGCUUUGGAUUUGCUUUAAUGCCAUAUACUAGUAAAAAUGCACGGGGUGCUUUAUUUGGCCACCCCUAUUUAAUUUAUACUUAUUUUAAAAAAAAAUUAACUUGUACUCAGUUUUUAAACAAUUUCAACCACUUUCUCGUUCUCCUUCGUUUCUUCUUCUUCUUCUUCUUCUUCUUCUUCUUUUAUUAACAAAUGCAAGGCACUAUGAUUAAUUCUCUAAUACUAUCACCAUCUUAAAAGAAAUUUUCAUUUUGUUUUUAACAUUGUAUUUUUAGAAUUUUUAUAUUAGGUGAACACAAUAGAUGCAACAGUAACUUUGGAAUUUGUUUCUGUAGAAUAGUAGUACAAAUUUCAUCCUUUUAGACAGAUUCGGUUCCUUUUCGAGUUUCGGAUAAAAACAAAAUCGUUAUCUUGAAAAACUCUCUCUGGACCAUCUUUACAGAAGAGGUUUUCUUUGCUUUAAGGAUAACUCAGUGCAAAUACAAUUUUUACCGAUAGAACAUAAGCUUUGCCAUUUAUAUUUUACUCUUCUUAUAAAAUGUUACUUUCAGUUUAUAUAGUGCUGAAAUUUUUACAAAUAAAAUAACUUCAGCAUCUUCUGCUGAAAUUUUUCAAAAAGUUUAUCCACGAUAAGAAAAACCUAAGCUUAUUUAGUGCUAAUAUUUUUACAAUAAGUUCAGCAUCAUAUGCUAAAGUUUUUGAAAAAUCUUUAUGACAAAACUAUCCAGAACAAAAAUAGUAGCUGGGGGUGAACAUCUGCCCAAAAGAAAAGCCGCCUGGAAGUCCGAGGACCUUUAGUACUGUACUAUACCCCCGAACCAGCAGCGUUCGUGCAAAGAAAGACCGCCCUUGUUCCUUUCCUUUCUCCAUUCCGCCUCCUUCUUUGCUUUGUUCCAAUAGAGUCUAAGGCAAAGUGGUUCGUAUGCCUACUUGACGAAAGGGAACGAACAACCUUUCAUUUCCGGGUUUAUGGAUUGGAUUCAGUCAGCCUCACGACAUAAUCAGAGUGAGGCUUUGGUUACCGGCAAACGCUUCUCCAAAGGCGACCCUCUCGAGUUUCCGUGUAUGCUUACUUGAUGAAAGGGAACGAACAGCCUUUCAUUUUCGGGGUUUAUGGAUUGGAUUCAGUCAACCUUACGAUAUAAUCAGACUGAGGCUUUGGUUACCGGCAAACGCUUCUCCAAAGGUGACCCUCUCGAGUUUCCGGCUGUUUUCGUCAUUGAAGUAGCCUUUCGUUGCCCUACCAAACAAAAGAAGUCACUAUCAAAUAGCUCGCCCUAUUGAAGUACCAAAGGUGCGCUCAGCUUACUCAGGAAAUGAGUUUGCCCUUGAAUUGAAGUGAUGACGUCGGAAAGAGGGAUGUAGGCCUCCUAUUGACUAAAGGUUGGUUCUUCGCUUUCCUUUGGAAUGAAAGUUGCUAUGAAGCCCCUACUACUUACUUUGUUUGAUUCAAAAGGCGAACAACCCCCAACUAGUUGUAUAAAAUAAGUUAAGCAUAUUCUGCUGAAGUUUUUGAAAAAUCUUUAUGACAAAACUAAUAAAUUCAAAACAAAAAAAACUUUAGCUAUUUUAGUGCUUAAGUUUUUUUCAAAUGAAUAACUUCAGCAGUGCCUUUGCGACUUCAGGUUCGUCUACUAAAAUGCUAAAGUUUUGCGUAAAUACAUUUACUAUUUCAAUCCCAUAUAUUAAAGUUACGUAAAAAAAUAGGUACACUUAUUAUUUUUUUAUAAAGCGAACACAAAUUAACACGUGAUCCAAAUAACAAGUAUAAAUACGAAUCCCCACAUAUACUCCUCUUGUCGAGUAGCAAAGGUCAAGCACAAGUCACCCAAACUUUACCUAAUCGGCGAACAGUAAACUAACAUGUGGGAGUAACCAUUUCACCAUUCUGUGUGCCCCACAUUUUUCCUCUUGUUUGAAACGACGAACGACUAAGGAGGCUCCUUGGUUUCAUCGGAACAAUUACAAUAAAUUAACAUACGCUUCUCUCCAACUCCAACCAGUGAUCCGUCUUCCCUUCACACCUGGCCACUUUACUCCGUUCAAUGGCUUCUCUCGCCUUUAAUUCCGUCGCAACCACCUCCAAAUUCCACUCCUCCUCCGCCGCCAUCGGAAGCUCCUCCAUCCGCCGCCAGCUUACGCAUCUCCGCCUUCCGUCUUCCCCUCUUCAGCCAUCAC
rnacentral:lncRNA from 1 species